ACCCAAAACUUUUCAUUUCCCUCUUUCACCAAAUUGAAACCUAAACAUUUUUCAUUUCCCUCCUUCACCAAAUUCAUUCUCCCGCUUCCCAACCCUAGUUAUCUUCUUCACCUUAUAACUCAAAUUCAAACUAAAAAUUUCAUUUCCCCAAAUUUCCCAUCAAUCAUAGAGAAACACGCAGAGAGACGACGACAACGAUAGUGAGGGCAAAUCUGGACAUAAAUACCACAAAACUGAAGAUUGUCUAUACCCAGUUCUUAUCAUUUGAUUGAAAAGCCCUUGCUUGGACUCCUCAAAAUCAAUUGCCUCAAAUUACUUUGCCCGUUGCUAUUGGUAUCAAGUUGAAGAAAUUUGUGGUGGCAAGCAUUUCUAGUGCUAUUGGUUAUAUAUUCAGCAUGGUCAUCCCCCUUUGAGCUAGCUUUCAAGAAGGUGGCUACAGGAUCUCUCCUCUAUGUCGAUUUGGUUGUUGACUUCUGUUUUGCUACUGAUAUCAUUGUAACUUUCUUCGUCGCGUAUUUGGAUAAAUCAACAUAUCUGCUUGUUGAUGAGCACAAAAAAGGUAGCCAUAAGGUAUGUCACACAUAUGAUGUUCCCUAUGGAUGUGGCAUCAACACUGCCAUUUCAAACGAUAUACCGAAUUUUGACUGGAAAGCUGCACCGUGGGGAUGUUUUUGUUUCCUUAACUUGUUAAGGCUUUGCCGGCUAAGGCGUGUUAGCGAGCUAUUCUCAAGGCUAGAGAAAGAUACACGCUUCAGCUACUUCAUGACAAGAACCAUCAAACUAAUAUGUGUAACGCUUUUUGCAGUGCACUCAGCUGGCUGCUUUUACUAUUGGAUAGCCACUCGUCAUCAUAUCUCACAAGAUACAUGGAUUGGAUCUAUAAUUGAAAACUUUGAGGAUAGAAGCAUUUGGCCUGGAUACACGUAUUUGAUGUAUUGGUCAAUUGUGACACUUACAACAGUCGGCUAUGGAGACUUGCAUGCUGUGAAACUUCAAUGACAUACUCCACAAGAUAACAUUGAUUUACAUACUACAUUGCUUUCAAGGUUUGACCUGAAUCUUCAUCGUGAAAGGGGUUAGGAUGUUUAGCCAAGACAAGAUUGUAGCUACUCACAUCAUCAAGUCCAUGCAUCUACAAAUGCAAAACAAUGAUCCCAGAGAUCCAAAAGAAGAUAUUUGAUUAAAAAAACUCAUCAUCGCAGGGAGUUAAUUUAGAAUCAUACAAGAAAUGAGGCGUUAGGCAAACGAAACUGGGGAAUCAACUGGGGUACGAACAACUGUAAGACAUUAUAAGCUAUAGUAAGGUUGUGCGAGUCCCUAGCCAAGAUGAGACUAUAAGCUAUCAAAUAGGUUUUUCUUAUUCAUCCAUCUUGAAACUAAUAUUAUAAUUUAUUAACUGAUCUUUCUAUUUUGUUAAAUC